rnacentral:lncRNA from 1 species
AGAAGUUGUACACCAAGCUGGGCACUGGGGAUAAGGAUGCAGGGAGCCUGUGUGUGAAACAGGAUUAUCAGGGGGUCAUGAAGAGAGUCAAAGGAUGUCCAUCACUUCCCUUCUGGGUUUCUUGUCCUGGAGAAUCAGAGCAUCACUGGAUCACUGAAGUCUCAGUUGUGACCGGAGGCCAAACUGGAGUUAUUCUGUAGCUUGGCUGUAGGUUCAUCUGUAUUCCCAUGAGCUAAUGGAAAAUAUUAAUGAAGAGAAGCAAAAUACAGGCACAUGCUGAACUUCCAUUUGUGAGAGCAAGUUAAGUCCUGAGAAUCCAGUCCCUUCUGAAAGGAGAUCAAAGCCACACAACUCAACACAUGUUUGCGAUAUCUAAUUUAUAUCAGGACUAGAUGAAUCCAGAUGCACAUUGAGUCCUACAUCUUGAACUAUUUUCCAAAUGUUUGAGACUUAAUAAAAUCUAAACUCUACCUGGCACCUUUAGGUUAAUUUUAAAGCAAUCAUUAUUCCUCAGGAAACUAAAAACAUAUGUCUCUGAUUUGUUCACACUUAAGUCAUCAAAAUAUUAUUUUCCUAAGUGAUUUGAUAUCCAAGAAACUUUUUGAAAUAUUUUAAAUGAUCUUUUCCCUGAAGGUGGGAAAUUAGGUUCUGCCUAAGGAAUUUGGAUAAUUCUUCUUCUAGGGUAGGCUUCCAUAGUCGUGAUGAAGACAACAGAGAUCUUAAGUAAAACCAGACAGUAACCCGGUUAGUGACAAGCUGUGUAUCCUUCUGCAUCAAGUGUCCACACUAAGCUAGUCACUUCCUUCCCAAAUCAAGAAACCAAAUCCUCUAUCUUCUGCAAUAAUCAGUUUAUUAACAAGGAAAGUUUUCGGAUAUUCGUGGAGAGAGACAAGCUUUGUUAUGGUCCCCAUUCCUCCAUCUAGUAUUAUGACACUUUCGAGAAGACUCUUUACUUCUUUGGGCCUUGUUUUUCUCAUGAGCAAAAUUCCAGUAACAGGCAUUAUCAUUUAUUGAAGGAAUUGGGCUAUAAACAUUCCUACCAACUUUAUUCCUAGAAAACAUUGAUGAAGCACUUAGAGUGUUCUAAAGAACAAUUCCAGAAGUGGUCAGAAGAAGCAAAAGGUGCAAUGUAUGUGCCUGUUCUUAAUUAAAAUAAAUAUAUCAGAACAGAUAAAAACUUAUUUUUAAACCUCUAAUAAAUCAACCAGAAAAUUGACAGUGUAUUUUUAAUGCCAGUUCCAAGGGAUUCUGAUUCCUACAAUAUUAUUGCGUUUUCCUAACCCUACAUUCACCUUUGCAUUGAUCCUUCUAUAAUCUAGUCUUCAACAGCAGCCUUAAAAAAAGUCGUAUAUUAAUCCCACAUGUAAACAUCCCAGUGGCUUCUGAUUAUAUACAAAGAAAAUUCCAUGUCCUCACCAGAGCCUAGGGCAAUGUCCCAGCAGACCUGGAUCCUGGCCUCCUUCUUGACCUCAACUCUGACCACUGUGCUGAACUCACGUGCUUCCUGUCCUAACACACUCAUGGGCUUGGUUCUUGCUGCCCCCUCUGCCUACAAUAUUCUUUUUCCAGAGAGUCCAUGGGUAACUCCCUCCCCUCACUCCAGUCUCCAUUUAAGUGCUACCUGCUUCAUGAGGUAGUCCCCAACCACCAUAAUCAAAGGAUGUCUUGAGGUACUAUUACUUUAUUCUGUUUGACUUCUCUUCUGAUCUUUCUUACUCCUUAACAUUAUAUAUAUUUGGCAUGUCCUAGAGUCAUUUGUUCAUAAGCCUUGCCUGAUAAUCGAGAAAUAUUUGUUGAAUAAAUAAAAGGUACACCUUUUAAAAGUAUAGAGUUUAGUUUUAGGCAGCUUUAGACCCACAACAGAACUGAACAGAGAGUGCUGAGAUUUCUCAUAUCCUACUUUCCACCUCACAUGCACAGCCUCUCCCAUUUUCUACACCUUGCAACAGAGUGGUAUAUUUGUCACAACCGAUAAACCAUACUGACACAUCACCAUAAAGCAGAUUCUGUAGCUUAUAUUAGGGUUCAUUCUAUGAGUCUGGACAACUCUACAGUGACUAGUAUCCCACACUGUAACAUCAUACACAGUAGCUCCGCUGCUGUGCUCCAGCUUUUGAACUCUCUCUCCCUCCUAAUGCCUAGAAAACACAGAUCAUUAUUAUCUCAAAAGGUGUACUUUACAAUUAUAUGCUAUACAAUAGCUUCAAGUCAAUGCUAGAAUCAGUUGUACUGCAUCUUCAGCAAUGCUGACUUAUUAAUAUAUCUGAUUUAUAAAGGAAAUUUACAUAUAAUUUUUCACAGAACACAAUGUUUAUGACUAAGAGAAUAUUCUUCGAACAUCACUCUUCUAUUGCUAGAUCAGUGUUCAUGCUAUUAGCCUAUUUUCUAUCUGAGGUGUAUAUCACUAAAAAUUAAUUGGUAGUAAGGACUUUUAAAAAUUAACUGUCUAAUCAUCAUAUAUGCUGCAUUAUUUUCCAGUUUUUUGUAAAUACAUUGAUACUAUUUUAAAAUUUUUAUUUGACAAAAUUUAGCUAUCAUUAUUAUGAUUCUGUGGUAAAAUAUGAAUGUUUGCUUAGUUUCUUUUGGUUCCUUAUGGUUCCACAUAAAGGUAAAUAUUUAAAAGACAAUUAUUUUUAUCUUUCUUAUUGUACUUUGCUACUUAAUGAUUACUGAUAAAAAAUAGAGAAUGGUCACAAUGUAAGACUAUUAUUAAUAGCCUCAAAAGUUCUUUAACUGAGAAAAGUGUAUGCUUCAAGCUCUGCUAAUUGUUCCAUUCCACAGGUUCUUUGCAUGUUUCUCCUCAAGUUCAGUUGCUUAUUGAAUAUAUGAAGUUAUUUUGAACUGCCAAACUAAUGUUAAAGUUUAGAUUCAUCAUUUUUAUCUUAGAAGGG